UACGUAGGGGACGAGCGUUGUCCGGAAUUACUGGGCGUAAAGGGCGCGCAGGCUGUAGAUCAAGUCAGCUGUGAAAUGUCUGGGCUUAACCCGGGCAUGCGGUUGAAACUGAUGUACUGGAGUUCUGUAGAGGCAAGUGGAAUUCCCAGUGUAGCGGUGAAAUGCGUAGAUAUUGGGAAGAACACCGGUGGCGAAGGCGACUUGCUGGCACAAUACUGACGCUCAUGUGCGAAAGCUAGGGUAGCGAACGGGGAUUAGA
rnacentral:rRNA from 1 species